rnacentral:rRNA from 1 species
UACGUAGGGCGCAAGCGUUGUCCGGAAUUAUUGGGCGUAAAGAGCUCGUAGGCGGCUUGUCACGUCGGGUGUGAAAGCCCGGGGCUUAACCCCGGGUCUGCAUUCGAUACGGGCUGGCUAGAGUGUGGUAGGGGAGAUCGAAUUCCUGGUGUAGCGGUGAAAUGCGCAGAUAUCAGGAGGAACACCGGUGGCGAAGGCGGAUCUCUGGGCAUGUCCUGACGCUGAGGAGCGAAAGUGUGGGGAGCGAACAGG